rnacentral:rRNA from 1 species
AAAAACAUAGCCCUGCGCUUCUAUGCAAGGUAAGCCCUGCCCAGUGAGAAAUUUAACGGCCGCAGUACCCUGACUGUGCUAAGGUAGCGUAAUCAGUUGGCUUUUAAAUGGAGUCGAGAAUGAAUGGGUUCAUGGGGAGUGACUGUCUCACCUUUGUUAAGUCGAACUUAUUUAGUAGGUGAAAAUACCUAUAAAUAGAAAAAAGACGAGAAGACCCUUAGAGUCUUAAUAAAGUGUCUUAGUCAGGCUAGUAUUUUUGUUGGGGCGACAUCGAGGCAUUAUUUAACCCUCGAUAAUAGAGAUUACUAGACGAAAGUAAUAGGAAAGACAAGACUACCUUAGGGAUAACAGCAUAAUCUUAAAAUUAGCUUUGUGACCUCGAUGUUGGACUAGGAACUUUAUGACUAGCCGUCAUAAGAGUAGGUUCUGUUCGAACCCUUUGCUCCUACGUGAUCUGANU